AUGUGUAUAUUUGCAUUUAACUCAAAACAUUUUCUAAAUCUAACAUAAAGCUUUUUGCUCCAUCAGCAUUCACAGUAAGCAUCCAGAAAAUAGAUAUAAAAAAAUAAAAUGGUUCAACAGUAGCUAAGUUAGAGUAGCCAAAUAUCAUUCUUAAACACAUUUAUAUCUUCUUCAUCUUUUCCAAUUCAUACGCUUCUUUAAGAACACAACUCUGAUGUAUAUUGUCAUCAGAUUCUUUGUGAGUGAGCAUUGAAGCCCAUCAGAUGAUAAUUGCUGAACUAAUAAGUUUGCUUGGGCAGAGAUCUUGUACAAUGAAGGGCAUGAGUCACGUGCCAUAUUUAGUUGGAAAAAAACUUGUUCCUACGGACCCAGAUGCAAAAGGUUUGAGUUUUGGACUAAAGUGGCAAAAGUGA
rnacentral:lncRNA from 1 species